rnacentral:pre_miRNA from 1 species
AAUCGUCGGAGCAUCAUUGUGUGUGUUUGUAUGCUUUACUACUUUCUAUCAAAUUGUCUGGGUUUCUCCUUACCCUUUCAGUGAAAGUUGGGAAAUGCGUUUGGCGACGCCAUGUUUGGUCUCAUCUUUUGAUA